AACGAACGCUGGCGGCGUGCCUAACACAUGCAAGUCGAACGAGAAAGCUCCCUUCGGGGGGUGAGUAAAGUGGCAGACGGGUGAGUAACACGUGGGUAACCUGCCCGGAGAUGGGGGAUAACCCUCCGAAAGGAGGGCUAAUACCGCAUAACAUCCACAGGACUUCGGUUUUGCGGAUCAAAGCUUGCCUCUACUCGUAAGCAAGCGUCACCGGAGGGGCUCGCGUCCCAUUAGCUUGAUGGUGAGGUAACGGCUCACCAUGGCGACGAUGGGUAGCCGGCCUGAGAGGGCGAUCGGCCACACUGGAACUGAAACACGGUCCAGACUCCUACGGGAGGCAGCAGUGAGGAAUUUUGCGCAAUGGGGGAAACCCUGACGCAGCGACGCCGCGUGGAGGACGAAGGCCUUCGGGUCGUAAACUCCUGUCAAGUGGGACGAAUGUCGUAGGAAUGAAUAAGUCCUGCGAUUGACGGUACCACUGGAGGAAGCCCCGGCUAACUCCGUG
rnacentral:rRNA from 1 species